rnacentral:rRNA from 1 species
GACGAACGCUGGCGGCGUGCCUAAUACAUGCAAGUCGAACGCAGUGGGGACGGGUGAGUAACACGUGGGUAACCUCCCAUCAGAGGGGAUACCACUUGGAAACAGGUGCUAAACCGAUACUGAUGGAUGACCCUGCGGUGCAUUAGCUAGUUGGUGAGGUAACGGCUCACCAAGGCCACGAUGCAUAGCCGACCAGAGAGGGUGGUCGGCCACCGUGGUACUUAGACACGACCCAGACUCCUACGGGGGGCAGCGGUAGGGAAUGUUCGGCAAUGGACGAAAGGCUGACCGAGCAACGCCACGUGAGUGAAGAAGGUUUUCGGAUCGUAAAACUCUGUUGUUAGAGAAGCGGUAUCUAACCAGAAAGCCACGGCUAACUACGUGCCAGCCGCCGCGGUAAUAC